rnacentral:rRNA from 1 species
CAGUCGCCGCGGUAAUACGUAGGGUGCAAGCGUUGUCCGGAAUUAUUGGGCGUAAAGAGCUCGUAGGCGGUUUGUCGCGUCUGCUGUGAAAUCCCGAGGCUCAACCUCGGGCUUGCAGUGGGUACGGGCAGACUAGAGUGCGGUAGGGGAGAUUGGAAUUCCUGGUGUAGCGGUGGAAUGCGCAGAUAUCAGGAGGAACACCGAUGGCGAAGGCAGAUCUCUGGGCCGUAACUGACGCUGAGGUACGAAAGCAUGGGGAGCAAACAGGAUUAGAUACCCCUGUAGUCCCUGUCUCUUAUAC